GCAGGGAAGACUCUGCCCCUAACCAUGAUUCCUGGGCACAUGCUCCUCUGCUCUCAGCCCCUGUCUUCCAACAGAAGCCUGAAUCAGUGUGUGCAGCCCCCACCCCCUGACACCGGGUGAGGCCCAGACUCAAAUCUCCCCAGUUCAAAUGGGAACAAUUAUUAAUGAGAUCGUUUAUGUUUUUUUUUUUUUUGUUUUUUUUUUUUUUGGUUUUGUAAAUCUUUGAAAUUCCCUGUGUAUUUUUACCAGACAGUAUCUUCCUGCCUUUCCAGCCACCCUCGUGCCCACCCCACCUUGGCAGUCCCCAUCCGGCCCCAUAGACUCCUUGGUCGCCUGUCCUUGAGCUUCCCAGGAAUGGAGUCCUGCAUAGUACAGGGAACCUUGUUACCUGAGGCCUGGUGACCAUCUCACCCCACUGUGAAUCCAGCACCCCUAGAAUAGCCGUGCAGCCCGGCAGAUACAGCAGGUGUACCGAAGGUGUUUACUGCUGGGUGAAGGAGGGAAGGUCUUCAAACAAAGCUGCACAUAUGCCUCCUAGUUAGACAGGAAAUGGGGAGAGAUUUCCAAAGAAGGGAAAGAGAAGGAAGUCCCUUACCAGGUGUUUGGGAGCAGAAUGGUCAUCUCCAAAGGGUAGGAGUUAGUUCUCCUCUGUGGCUCCCACCUUCCUGGGACAGCUGGGAGUCCAGGCUCAGGAAGACAUGCUGUGCAGAGGGUAAACUGAAGGUCAAGCAAUCCUCUUGUUUUUUUGUUUGUUUUUGUUUGUUUGUUUUGUUUUGUUUUAAUCAUUGGAAAGGAGA
rnacentral:lncRNA from 1 species